rnacentral:tRNA from 1 species
GCUCAGUCAGUUGAGUGUACAACUUUGGUUCAGGUCGUGAUCUCAAGGCUCGUGAGUUCGAGUCUCACAUUGGGCU